GUGGCCAUAUUAUGAUAUCCUAUGGUCAAAUUAUGACUUCUUGCACACAGAAAGUUAUAAUUUUUUAAAAAUUAUAAAAAAAUAUUUUCAUCUUUAAAAAUUUAUAAAAUUUUUAAAUAUUAAUAAUAUUUUUUAUUUUUUUGUGAUAUCCUAUGACUAGAUUAUGAACAGAAAGUCAUAAUUUGACUAUAUUAUGUUACAAUAUGAUCAUAGAACGUC
rnacentral:lncRNA from 1 species